rnacentral:misc_RNA from 1 species
GAUGAAGAACGUAGCGAAAUGCGAUACUUGGUGUGAAUUGCAGAAUCCCGUGAACCAUCGAGUCUUUGAACGCAAGUUGCGCCCGAAGCCAUUAGGCCGAGGGCACGCCUGCCUGGGCGUCACACGUCGUUGCCCCCCCAUCUACUCCUUCGGGAUUGCGGGGGGCGGAUGAUGGCCUCCCGUGCGCCUCGUCGCGCGGUUGGCCUAAAUGCCAAGUCCUCGGCGACGCACGCCACGACAAUCGGUGGUUGCGAAACCUCGGUUGCCUGUCGUGUGCGGUCGUCGCGCAUCGAGGGCUCGAAAAAAUUGCCGGGCUUCGGCUCGACUUUCAACGCGACCCCAGGUCAGGCGGGGUUACCCGCUGAACUUAAGCAUAUCAAUAAGCGGAGGA